UACGUAGGGAGCAAGCGUUGUCCGGAAUUAUUGGGCGUAAAGAGCUCGUAGGCGGUUUGUCGCGUCUGCCGUGAAAGUCCGGGGCUCAACUCCGGAUCUGCGGUGGGUACGGGCAGACUAGAGUGAUGUAGGGGAGACUGGAAUUCCUGGUGUAGCGGUGAAAUGCGCAGAUAUCAGGAGGAACACCGAUGGCGAAGGCAGGUCUCUGGGCAUUAACUGACGCUGAGGAGCGAAAGCGUGGGGAGCGAACAGG
rnacentral:rRNA from 1 species